CAGAAGACAGCAGCCUGGCGAUGGCAGGAACUUCCCAGAUGGCGAGGCGCCCUUCCUUGGUGCUCCAUGUGGAUCCACCCUGCCGGGCAUCCGCGAGCUGAGUCGGAGGCUGCGAAUUGCAGAGGGGCUGAAAGUGGGGUGCCGGGUCGGGACUCUGGACCUGGGAUUUUUAAGUCAGCUUUGGGGAUGGGGAGGUCCAGGCUGUGGCCCCUUAGGCCACGUGAAGGGAGAGCCUCACUUUUGUUCACAGUGCUGAGGUGCGCAGGACAGAGCAGUCCCGGGGCGUGUUUUAUCACUUGUCCGUCGUGCCUUCUGUGUCUUUUGUGCCUCUCCUGUUGUAUGUGCCUUGCCUUAUCUCUUCCGGGGGCUUACCAGAAACCCCGGCGUAACUCGUACCAUCUCCGAUCUCUGGGCUCUUCAGCCCGAUGCCAUCGAAGCUUUGCCUCAGGAGCUCGCAGAGGCCUUGGAAUUGCAUCUGUUUUGGAAAGCAUCCGAUCGGAUGUCUUUUAGAGGUCUUGUUCCGAGCUGUGUCAACAGCCGUGCGCCGCGAGGAUCCAUUGCUGCGGCUUAGGUCUUGAAGAAACGCAGAGAUAGGUAGAGGACUGUGGCCCUAAAAUUCUCGGGCAUCCGUCUUGGCAGUUGCUGGAGUUCGUCAUUCCGUCAGCAUCUUCUUCCUCCCGGGUUCUGCGAGCUUCAUCAGCUCGCCUUCAUUCUCACCCGGCUCAUCUCGUUCCGCGUUCUCUCGGUUCUUGUGGCCAUUCUUGUGGCCCAGAGUUUUGUCUCCCCAUUGUGUCCCCUCGUCUGUUGUCUGGUGUGUCACGGGUGUCUGGGUGUAGUUGUCCCGGAGCUGCUCUGUCCUGCUGCCCAGCCUGGGUGUAGGUGUAAAAGGCCAAGUCCCAGGCCCCUGUAAUUUGAAAUUUGUCAUGUAGGGUGUAGUUGGAGUCUAGCGGGUGUUCCUAGAUUGACACAAGAUGUCUGGAGCUGUGAAGUUACUCUGCAGCACUUUGACUUUUGUCUCAACUUUCUUUCAGAUGCGGACGGAUGAAAUCGGUGGCAGAGCGCCCCAUCCAGGGUAAGGGGGUUCCCCCGAGAAGGAAGUGAAGCCGGCUAGCAGCAGUCAAGGCGAAGUGGGCAAGGCGGUCCAGUCGCAUUUCGCCGAGAUCCCCUCGCCAACCGGCCGGCACAGCUGCUUCACCGCUCCCGUGAGCCCUGCGGAAGCGUUAUGGAACCAUGUGAUGGAGCCUUCUCCACGUAAAGGGGCCGUGUGGGUGGCCUUCAGGAACGGGCCGAGGGGUUGCCGCGCGCCCUGCGACGACGGCGUCCGGCUCCCGGCGUGGCCGAAGCGUGCGGCCUCAGGACGUGGCCGUUCACAGGAGACCCUGACCGAGAGACGGCAGCCUGGCGAUGGCAGGAACUUCCCAGAUGGCGAGGCGGCCUUCCUUGGUGCUCCAUGUGGAUCCUCCCCGCCGGGCAUCCGAGAGCUGAGUCGGAGGCUGCGAAUUGCAGAGGGGCUGAAA